rnacentral:rRNA from 1 species
AGGACGACAUUAGACGAAUCAUCUGGAAAGAUGAAUCAAAGAAGGUAAUAAUCCUGUAGUCGAAAAUGUUGUCUCUCUUGAGUGGAUCCUGAGUACGACGGAGCACGUGAAAUUCCGUCGGAAUCUGGGAGGACCAUCUCCUAAGGCUAAAUACUCUCUAGUGACCGAUAGUGAACCAGUACCGUGAGGGAAAGGUGAAAAGCACCCCGGAAGGGGAGUGAAAUAGAACCUGAAACCGUGUGCUUACAAGUAGUCAGAGCCCGUUAAUGGGUGAUGGCGUGCCUUUUGUAGAAUGAACCGGCGAGUUACGAUUUGAUGCAAGGUUAAGCAGUAAAUGUGGAGCCGUAGCGAAAGCGAGUCUGAAUAGGGCGUUUAGUAUUUGGUCGUAGACCCGAAACCAGGUGAUCUACCCUUGGUCAGGUUGAAGUUCAGGUAACACUGAAUGGAGGACCGAACCGACUUACGUUGAAAAGUGAGCGGAUGAACUGAGGGUAGCGGAGAAAUUCCAAUCGAACCUGGAGAUAGCUGGUUCUCUCCGAAAUAGCUUUAGGGCUAGCCUCAAGUGAUGAUUAUUGGAGGUAGAGCACUGUUUGGACGAGGGGCCCCUCUCGGGUUACCGAAUUCAGACAAACUCCGAAUGCCAAUUAAUUUAACUUGGGAGUCAGAACAUGGGUGAUAAGGUCCGUGUUCGAAAGGGAAACAGCCCAGACCACCAGCUAAGGUCCCAAAAUAUAUGUUAAGUGGAAAAGGAUGUGGCGUUGCCCAGACAACUAGGAUGUUGGCUUAGAAGCAGCCAUCAUUUAAAGAGUGCGUAAUAGCUCACUAGUCGAGUGACACUGCGCCGAAAAUGUACCGGGGCUAAACAUAUUACCGAAGCUGUGGAUUGUCCUUUGGACAAUGGUAGGAGAGCGUUCUAAGGGCGUUGAAGCAUGAUCGUAAGGACAUGUGGAGCGCUUAGAAGUGAGAAUGCCGGUGUGAGUAGCGAAAGACGGGUGAGAAUCCCGUCCACCGAUUGACUAAGGUUUCCAGAGGAAGGCUCGUCCGCUCUGGGUUAGUCGGGUCCUAAGCUGAGGCCGACAGGCGUAGGCGAUGGAUAACAGGUUGAUAUUCCUGUACCACCUAUAAUCGUUUUAAUCGAUGGGGGGACGCAGUAGGAUAGGCGAAGCGUGCGAUUGGAUUGCACGUCUAAGCAGUAAGGCUGAGUAUUAGGCAAAUCCGGUACUCAUUAAGGCUGAGCUGUGAUGGGGAGAAGACAUUGUGUCUUCGAGUCGUUGAUUUCACACUGCCGAGAAAAGCCUCUAGAUAGAAAAUAGGUGCCCGUACCGCAAACCGACACAGGUAGUCAAGAUGAGAAUUCUAAGGUGAGCGAGCGAACUCUCGUUAAGGAACUCGGCAAAAUGACCCCGUAACUUCGGGAGAAGGGGUGCUCUUUAGGGUUAACGCCCAGAAGAGCCGCAGUGAAUAGGCCCAAGCGACUGUUUAUCAAAAACACAGGUCUCUGCUAAACCGUAAGGUGAUGUAUAGGGGCUGACGCCUGCCCGGUGCUGGAAGGUUAAGAGGAGUGGUUA